AACGCGAAGAACCUUACCAAGUCUUGACAUCCCCCUGACCGGAACUUAACGGUUCCUUUCCUACGGGACAGGGGAGACAGGUGGUGCAUGGUUGUCGUCAGCUCGUGUCGUGAGAUGUUGGGUUAAGUCCCGCAACGAGCGCAACCCUUAUUCUUAGUAGCCAGCAGGUAAAGCUGGGCACUCUAGGGAGACUGCCAGGGAUAACCUGGAGGAAGGUGGGGAUGACGUCAAAUCAUCAUGCCCCUUAUGAUUUGGGCUACACACGUGCUACAAUGGCGUAAACAAAGAGAAGCAAGACCGCGAGGUGGAGCAAAUCUCAAAAAUAACGUCUCAGUUCGGACUGCAGGCUGCAACUCGCCUGCAUGAAGCUGGAAUCGCUAGUAAUCGCGAAUCAGAAUGUCGCGGUGAAUACGUUCCCGGGUCUUGUACACACCG
rnacentral:rRNA from 1 species